rnacentral:tRNA from 1 species
AAUAGUCAUAUUUAUAAAGCAUUAUUAUAUCAUUAAGAAUGAUAAUUCGAGUUUCUCUC